rnacentral:lncRNA from 1 species
CUUUACAAAAACAAGGCUUGCACCAGCUGAAAGCUACCAGGCUCCUAAAUGGAGUGUAAAAGCACAGGGUGGUCAGGGGCUUGACUACUGCCAGGUGCUUAUCUGUUAUCUCUUGUUCCUUUGGUAGGAAGGUUGUCUUAUUAAUAAUUUUGCUUUUUCCUCCUUGGUAUUAUCCAUUUCAUUCCUAAGAAUACUGCCAUUUACUUGGUUUUAGUAGUGUCUUACUUCACGACUGUCUCACGUGUCUUUAAUUCUUUGACACUGAAAAGCUAAGCAUUUCAAAAAAGGAAAUGCUUGCCUUGGAAGCCACAGGGGAAAACAUGAGUAUUCAUUUGGUCCUAUCACAAGCUCUUGAGGACCAGUUAGAAAUAAAGGAGUUUACAACUGAAGGAGACGGUGGUGGCUUGCUGGUUGGCGUGAUCAUCUGUCAUUCUUCCAAGCACAGCUGAUUGUGAUUCCGAAGUGAAGGAGGAGAGAAAGGAAAAGGGAGAGAACAGGCAAGCUGUGCAGGAAGGUAAUGGGCAGUAGAAAUGUUUCUUGCUAAGCUGUAAAAAACUGUAGCCUAAUUCUGUUUUGUAGCUAAUAGCAAAAAGCUAUGAAGCAUUUUUGAGUAUUUUCAUACAUUUCCUACACUGUCCUAAAAUAUAUACAUAUGUGUGAGUGUGUGUGUCUGUAUGUGUGUGUGUGUGUGUGUGUAUAAUUUAGUUUUUAUAUAGCUCAUUUAAUCCUCACACCAACCCUCUUAAGGAUUCUAGCUCCAUUUAUAGGCAAGGAAAUUGAGGCACACAGAAAGUACCCAAUUUGCCCCAGGAUAUGCAAACAGAGGAAUCAAUAAGAGGGAUUCAAACCAGUAGGAUUUAACCCAAAGCAAUUAACCCACUGAUAAUUGCUGUGCUGUGCUGCCUGGAUUAGGAAUUAUGCUGCCCUAUAGUUCACCAAUUAGACUUGCAGAGAUCAGACAAA